rnacentral:rRNA from 2 species
GCAGUCGAGCGAAUCGAUGGGAGCUUGCUCCCUGAGAUUAGCGGCGGACGGGUGAGUAACACGUGGGCAACCUGCCUAUAAGACUGGGAUAACUUCGGGAAACCGGAGCUAAUACCGGAUACGUUCUUUUCUCGCAUGAGAGAAGAUGGAAAGACGGUUUACGCUGUCACUUAUAGAUGGGCCCGCGGCGCAUUAGCUAGUUGGUGAGGUAAUGGCUCACCAAGGCGACGAUGCGUAGCCGACCUGAGAGGGUGAUCGGCCACACUGGGACUGAAACACGGCCCAGACUCCUACGGGAGGCAGCAGUAGGGAAUCUUCCGCAAUGGACGAAAGUCUGACGGAGCAACGCCGCGUGAACGAAGAAGGCCUUCGGGUCGUAAAGUUCUGUUGUUAGGGAAGAACAAGUACCAGAGUAACUGCUGGUACCUUGACGGUACCUAACCAGAAAGCCACGGCUAACUACGUGCCAGCAGCCGCGGUAAUACGUAGGUGGCAAGCGUUGUCCGGAAUUAUUGGGCGUAAAGCGCGCGCAGGUGGUUCCUUAAGUCUGAUGUGAAAGCCCACGGCUCAACCGUGGAGGGUCAUUGGAAACUGGGGAACUUGAGUGCAGAAGAGGAAAGUGGAAUUCCAAGUGUAGCGGUGAAAUGCGUAGAGAUUUGGAGGAACACCAGUGGCGAAGCGACUUUCUGGUCUGUAACUGACACUGAGCGCGAAAGCGUGGGGAGCAAACAGAUUAGAUACCCUGUAGUCCA